CGUUUUUUCGACCGUACAGUUCCUGCAUAGCAGCCGGAUGGAAGGUCAUUGCCCGCUUUUGAGUGUCACUUUCAUUUGGGCUUUCGCGCGCCGCCUCACGUUUUUGCGCAAACUCACCGCGCGCUUUAGCAGCCGUCCCAAAGAAAAGCCUGUUGGCCAACAGUUUAUGGGCUGAGAGUGAUGGUGAGGGGCGAUUGUGAUUACUGACCGGCCCCGUUAAGUCUGUUACUCGGGAGGAAGGUGAGCGCUGCGGGCGAUCGCGAUUUCACUUUCGCACGCUGCCUCACUUAAAGACUCGCCUUAGUUUUCUCCACUGCCGCCGCCGCUGGCACCUCGCGCACUUAACCACACCACACCACAUAUUGCAUUGCGCUCGCAAUUACUCUCAAUUCAACUGGCUGGCAAUAUGUCAAUUGUUGCGGUUGAGCUCCAUUCACGUCGCUCAGUCUCGUCGUUUCGUUUCGAAUUGCCUUUUCAUUUCAAUGGUAUGAAUGAAGCGGCACUCAUUCCGGAUCUUUGGACAUCACUUUUUCUUGGCUGUAGUUACCAUUGCAACAAUGCAGGCGGUGCUAUUCAUUACUCCUCUGGAUGUUUAUCUUUUUCCAGUUUGAUUUCGGUGCUAUUAAUGCUAGGUAUUUUGAUUUCUGCUUCUCUCCCAUUUUUUUAUUGCUGGGCGCUGAUUUGUUGCAAUUGCAAUUGCAGCGCUCACAAGUGGCAGUGAAAGUUUUCUUGUCACGGAUUAACUACUUUGGAGUGCAGUAGUUUGUUGUGUGCCUCUUGAUUGCAUUCGCCCGCAACGGUUACACAGAUUCUUCGAUUUUCGCUGCUUAGUUACUGGCGCUGCUGCUGACUGGUUUUCGUUUUCACCUACUGUCGGAGUGUGGGAAAAGCAACUUAUCGCAUAAAUCCGCAUUGAAAAUUGUUGGCUGUACAUAACUUUAAUUGCAGUUUGCUGUAAAUUACAUCAAAUAAAGUUUCCAUUAUCUCGAGUAGUCGGUGGUUGGCGUCACCUAGCAUCGCCAUACAUACUAGUUACACACACAUGUUUUUGUCUCUGUGUCUGCUUUUCAAGAGUUAACAGUUAACCAGCGCCCCAGCACCACAGCACCCCAGCACUCAGCACCCAGCGUCCAGCGCCCAGCGCCCAAUUCCACUGUCAGUGCCAGUGCCAGUCGGCGAUGCGCGUAAUCUCUUCACACACAUUAAUACCCAUAUAUGUAUGUAUGUAGCUUCCUUUAAUUUUAUUUUGUUUUGUGUUUUGUAAAUUAAAGCUCUUAUACUUCUUGCUGCCUGCAAUGUUGCAUUGAAAGAGGUCAAUUACAUUGUUGUUAUUGCGAAU